UAGUAGCGGCGAGUGAGCGGCAAAAGCUCAAAUUUGAAAUCUGGCGCCUUCGGUGUCCGAGUUGUAAUUUGAAGAUUGUAACCUUGGGGUUGGCUCUUGUCUAUGUUUCUUGGAACAGGAUGUCACAGAGGGUGAGAAUCCCGUGCGAUGAGAUGCCCAAUUCUAUGUAAGGUGCUUUCGAAGAGUCGAGUUGUUUGGGAAUGCAGCUCUAAGUGGGUGGUAAAUUCCAUCUAAAGCUAAAUAUUGGCGAGAGACCGAUAGCGAACAAGUACAGUGAUGGAAAGAAGAAAAGAACUUUGAAAAGAGAGUGAAAAAGUACGUGAAAUUGUUGAAAGGGAAGGGUUUGAGAUCAGACUCGAUAUUUUGUGAGCCUUGCCUUCGUGGCGGGGUGACCCGCAGCUUAUCGGGCCAGCAUCGGUUUGGGCGGUAGGAUAAUGGCGUAGGAAUGUGACUUUACUUCGGUGAAGUGUUAUAGCCUGCGUUGAUGCUGCCUGCCUAGACCGAGGACUGCGAUUUUAUCAAGGAUGCUGGCAUAAUGAUCCCAAACCGCCCGUCUU
rnacentral:rRNA from 1 species